rnacentral:sRNA from 1 species
GCCAGGUACAGUGGCACACCUAUUGUCCCUGCUACUUGGGAGGCUGAGGCAGAGGAAUCACUUGAGUCCAGGAGUUCAAGACCAGCCUGAGCAACAUAUUGAGACCCUGUCUCAA